rnacentral:rRNA from 1 species
AACGAACGCUGGCGGCAUGCCUAACACAUGCAAGUCGAACGAGACCUUCGGGUCUAGUGGCGCACGGGUGCGUAACGGGUGGGAACCUGCCCUUAGGUUCGGAAUAACUCUCCGACAGGGGUGCCAAUACCGGAUAAUGUCUUCGGCCCAAAGAUUUAUCGCCUUUGGUUGGGCACGCGUUGGAUUAGCUAGUUGGUAGGGUAAAAGCCUACCAAGGCGACGAUCAAUAGCUGGUCUGGGAGGAUGAUCAGCCACACUGGGACUGGGACACGGCCCAGACUCCUACGGGAGGCAGCAGUGGGGAAUAUUGGACAAUGGGCGAAAGCCUGAUCCAGCAAUGCCGCGUGAGUGAUGAAGGCCUUAGGGUUGUAAAGCUCUUUUACCCGGGAUGAUAAUGACGGUACCGGGAGAAUAAGCUCCGGCUAACUCCGUG